GGUACGCUAGCGGCAGACAUAACACAUGCAAGUCGAGGGGUAGAGGAAGCUUGCUUCCUUGAGACCGGCGCACGGGUGCGUAACGCGUAUGCAACCUACCUUUUACAGAGGGAUAGCCCAGAGAAAUUUGGAUUAAUACCUCAUAGUAUAUAGUCUUCGCAUGUUGACUAUAUUAAAGUUCCAACGGUAAAAGAUGGGCAUGCGUCCUAUUAGCUAGAUGGUAGGGUAACGGCUUACCAUGGCAACGAUAGGUAGGGGUCCUGAGAGGGAGAUCCCCCACACUGGUACUGAGACACGGACCAGACUCCUACGGGAGGCAGCAGUGAGGAAUAUUGGACAAUGGGCGCAAGCCUGAUCCAGCCAUGCCGCGUGCAGGAAGAAGCAUCUAUGGUGUGUAAACUGCUUUUGUACAGGAAGAAACACCCCGACGUGUCGGGACUUGACGGUACUGUAAGAAUAAGGAUCGGCUAACUCCGUGCCAGCAGCCGCGGUAAUACGGAGGAUCCAAGCGUUAUCCGGAAUCAUUGGGUUUAAAGGGUCCGUAGGCGGUUUGGUAAGUCAGUGGUGAAAGCCCGCAGCUCAACUGUGGAACGGCCAUUGAUACUGCCAGACUUGAAUUACAAGGAAGUAACUAGAAUAUGUAGUGUAGCGGUGAAAUGCUUAGAUAUUACAUGGAAUACCAAUUGCGAAGGCAGGUUACUACUUGUGGAUUGACGCUGAUGGACGAAAGCGUGGGGAGCGAACAGGAUUAGAUACCCUGGUAGUCCACGCCGUAAACGAUGGAUACUAGCUGUUGGGGGCAACUUCAGUGGCUAAGCGAAAGUGAUAAGUAUCCCACCUGGGGAGUACGUUCGCAAGAAUGAAACUCAAAUGAAUUGACGGAAGGGCGAAUUCCA
rnacentral:rRNA from 1 species